UACGUAGGAUGCAAGCGUUGUCCGGAAUUAUUGGGCGUAAAGAGAACGUAGGUGGUUUUUCUAAGUUUGGUCUUAAAGACCGGGGCUUAACUCCGGGAAUGGAUCGAAAACUGGAAGACUAGAGGAUGUCAGAGGAAAGUGGAAUUCCGAGUGUAGCGGUGAAAUGCGUAGAUAUUCGGAGGAACACCAGUGGCGAAAGCGACUUUCUGGGGCAUUCCUGACACUGAGGUUCGAAAGCUCGGGGAGCAAACAGGG
rnacentral:rRNA from 1 species